GAUGAACGCUGGCGGCGUGCCUAAUACAUGCAAGUCGAGCGAUCAGACGAGGAACUGGCUCCUCUGACGUUAGCGUCGAACGGGUGAGUAACACGUGGAUAACCUAACUAUAAGACUGGGUUAACUUCGGGAAACCGUAGCUAAGGGCGGAUAAUAUAUAUAACCUCAUGGUUCUAUAUUGAAAGACGGUUUUGUGGUCACUUAUAGAUGGAUCCGCGUGGCAUUAGAUAGUUUGUAAGGUAACGGCUUACCAAGGCAACGAUGCGUAGCCGACCUGAGAGGGUGAACGGCCAACCUGGAACUGAGACACGUUCCAGACACCUACACGAGGCAGCCGUAGGGAAUCUUACGCAAUGGACGAAAGCCUGACGGAGCAACGCCGCGUGAGUGAUGAAGGUCCUCGGCUCGUAAAACUCUGUAAUUAUGGAAGACCAAAUGUGUAAGUAACUAUGAACGUAUUGACGGUACCUAAUCAGAAAGCCACGGCUAACUACGUG
rnacentral:rRNA from 1 species